AGAGUUUGAUCAUGGCUCAGGACGAACGCUGGCGGCGUGCCUAACACAUGCAAGUCGAGCGGAAAGGCCUCCUUCGGGAGGUACUCGAGCGGCGAACGGGUGAGUAACACGUGGACAACCAACCCUUCACAUCGGGAUACCCCGGGGGAAACUCGGAUCAAUACCGGAUAAUGCGCGACGCUGUUGGGCGUCGCACCAAAGGUAGCUUCGGCCUCUGGUGAAGGACGGGUCCGCGGCCCAUUAGCUUGUUGGUGGGGUAAUGGCCUACCAAGGCAACGAUGGGUAGCUGGUCUGAGAGGAUGAUCAGCCACACUGGGACUGAGAUACGGCCCAGACUCCUACGGGAGGCAGCAGUGGGGAAUAUUGCGCAAUGGGCGAAAGCCUGACGCAGCAACGCCGCGUGCGGGAGGAAGGCCUUCGGGUCGUAAACCGCUUUCAGGGGGGACGAAGCCACCAGGGUUAAUAGCCCAUGGGGUGACGGUACUCCCAGAAGAAGCCCCGGCUAACUACGUGCCAGCAGCCGCGGUAAUACGUAGGGGGCGAGCGUUGUCCGGAAUCAUUGGGCGUAAAGAGCGUGUAGGUGGCUUGGAAAGUCUUACGUGAAAGCCUGCGGCUCAACCGCAGAAGUGCGUGGGAAACUUCCUCGCUAGAGUCCGGAAGAGGAGAGCGGNNAAUUCCUGGUGUAGCGGUGGAAUGCGCAGAUAUCAGGAGGAACACCCGUGGCGAAGGCGGCUCUCUGGGACGGUACUGACACUGAGACGCGAAAGCGUGGGGAGCGAACAGGAUUAGAUACCCUAGUAGUCC
rnacentral:rRNA from 1 species